CUCCAGAUGUUGCUGAACUACAACUCGCAUCAUCCCUGGCCAUGCUUGCUGAGGAUGAUGGGAAUUGUAGUUCAGCAAUAUCUGGAG